AUGAGUAUCUCAGGCGAGGUCCCCGACGAAGGCUCUGACGGCGAGGAGGUCUUCAUCGACGAGCAGGACAUCAUCCAGGAGAUACACCUCGACGAGGAAGAUCUCCCCGACCAUGACGAUGAUGAUGACGAUGAGGAAGACCAAGAGAUGGAUGAGGUGGAGGAUCAUUCAACUUAUGCAUUUCAUGGGCAUACAGAUGAGGUCUUUGCUGCUGCGUGCAGUCCUACAGAUGCAUCACUUGUUGUGUCUGGAGGUAAAGAUGACAGAGGGUUUCUUUGGAGGAUUGGAUCUGCACAGGAUUUUCAGGAGCUGACUGGACAUGGAGACACGGUGUGCACUGUGGCUUUUAGUUCAGAUGGGAAAUUGGUGGCUUGUGGAAGUAUGGAUGGACAGAUAAAUGUAUGGAAUACAGCUACACGGACACUUCAGGGAACCCUCGAGGGUUCCUCAGGAUCAGGCUUUGAGUGGCUCAGAUGGCAUCCACGUGGUAAUUUGAUAAUUGCAGGAUCAGAAGACUGUAACGUAUGGAUGUGGAAUGCUGACCACAAUGCCUUUCUGAAUACGUUUGCUGGUCACAGUAGCACAGUGACAUGUGGUGAUUUUACCCCUGAUGGUAAGCUUAUAUGUAGUGGAUCUGAUGAUGCAACAUUGAGGAUAUGGGAACCCAAAAGCGCACAAUGCAGACAUGUUGUUCGGGGUCAUGGCUAUCAUACUCAAGGAUUGACAUGCUUAGCCAUUACUCCGGACUCCCAAUCAAUUGUUAGUGGCUCGGAGGAUAAUUCUGUGCACAUUGUGAGCAUAAACUCAGGCCAGGUUGUUGGUUCAUUAGUUGGCCACACCAAUUCCAUCGAGUGCAUUGGCAUCUCAUCGAGGUACAACUGGGUGGCUACAGGGAGCAUUGAUAGAACUCUGAUUAUCUGGGACCUCGCCCGUCAAGCAAUUCGAUCUACUUGCGAGCAUGAUGAAGGCGUGACAUGCCUGGCGUGGCUGGGUUCGUCGAGGUAUGUGGCGUCGGGGUGCAUCGACGGCAUGGUGCGCAUCUGGGACAGCCUCUCCGGGGACUUGGCUCACACCUUCAGCGGGCACAGGGACGUCGUGCAGUCGCUGGCUGUCUCUGCCGACGGCAACUCCAUAGUCUCGGUCUCCACUGAUAAAUCAGCACGCGUCUUCGACGUCUCCAUGUUCAAGUGA
rnacentral:rRNA from 1 species